ensembl:snRNA U1 U1 spliceosomal RNA
CUACUUACUAGGCGGGGGGUGGGGAGAUUCCGCAAUCACGAAGGUGGUCUUCCAGGGCAAAGCUCAUCCAUUGCACUGCGGACUUGCUGACCCCUGCCAUUUCUCCUAAUGUGGGAAACUUGACUGCCUAAUUUAUGGUACUGAGGGAGUACAUCACGCCCCCUCU